AACGAACGCUGGCGGCAUGCCUAACACAUGCAAGUCGAACGAGACCUUCGGGUCUAGUGGCGCACGGGUGCGUAACGCGUGGGAACCUGCCCUUAGGUUCGGAAUAACUCCCCGAAAGGGGGGCUAAUACCGGAUAAUUUCUUCGGACCAAAGAUUUAUCGCCUUUGUAUGGGCCCGCGUUGGAUUAGCUAGGUGGGAGGGUAAAAGCCUACCAAGGCGACGAUCCAUAGCUGGUCUGAGAGGAUGAUCAGCCACACUGGGACUGAGACACGGCCCAGACUACUACGGGAGGCAGCAGUGGGGAAUAUUGGCAAAUCGGCGAAAGGCUGAACCAGCAAUGCCGCGUGAGUGAUGAAGGCCUUAGGGUUGUAAAGCUCUUUUACCCGGGAUGAUAAUGACAGUACCGGGAGAAUAAGCUCCGGCUAACUCCGUG
rnacentral:rRNA from 1 species